CAGUCUGACCAACAUGAAGAAACCCCAUCUCACUAAAAAUACAAAAUUAGCCGGGUGUGGUGGUACAUGCCUGUAAUCCCAGCUACUCGGGAGGCGGAAGCAGGAGAAUCACUUGAACCUGGGAGGCAGAGGUUGCAGUGAGCCGAGAUCGCGCCAUUGCAGUCCAGCCUGGGCAACAAGAGCGAAACUCUGUUUCUAAAUAAAUAAAUAAAUAACCCAGUCUGUGGUAUUUUGUUGCGGUAGCACACAUGAACUAAAACACCUGGGAAGUUGUUAGAAAUGCAUUAUUGGGCUGACUCAGACCUAACGGAGUGGGGCCCAGGGCUGUGUCCCCCAGGUGAUUCUGAUGGAUGCCCAAGGUUGAGAACCACCACCUUCAGUGUUUGCCUUUCUUUCCCUCCAACCCUCAGAGA
rnacentral:lncRNA from 10 species